UUUGGACUUGCUGGAGUUACAAACGUCGAUGUUCGGAGCAAUGGAGCGCUAGAAAUCCACGCUGAUGUAGAUCAUCCUAUUUUGCGGGAUCUCCUAGAAUCCGGCGCUGUCAAAGCCGAACACCGCGUUGAACUCAUUCAUGUUCAUCACUCAAUCAAUGUCAAGUAGUCGAAAUUCGAUCCUCCCCCGAUCCUCUCGAUCUGUGGGUCAUAAGGUGGCCUUGAAACUGCUAAGGAACUCCAGAGUGGUGUCCUGGUAGGC
rnacentral:misc_RNA from 1 species